rnacentral:rRNA from 1 species
AAUCGGAGAGUUCCCUUCGGGGACAUUGGUGACAGGUGGUGCAUGGUUGUCGUCAGCUCGUGUCGUGAGAUGUUGGGUUAAGUCCCGCAACGAGCGCAACCCUUGUCUUUAGUUGCCAUCAUUAAGUUGGGCACUCUAGAGAGACUGCCAGGGAUAACCUGGAGGAAGGUGGGGAUGACGUCAAAUCAUCAUGCCCCUUAUGCUUAGGGCUACACACGUGCUACAAUGGGUAGUACAGAGGGUUGCCAAGCCGUAAGGUGGAGCUAAUCCCUUAAAGCUACUCUCAGUUCGGAUUGUAGGCUGAAACUCGCCUACAUGAAGCUGGAGUUACUAGUAAUCGCAGAUCAGAAUGCUGCGGUGAAUGCGUUCCCGGGUCUUGUACACACCGCCCGUCACACCACGGGAGUUGGAGACGCCCGAAGCCGAUUAUCUAACCUUUUGGAAGAAGUCGUCGAAGGUGGAAUCAAUAACUGGGGUGAAGUCGUAACAAGGUAGCCGUAUCGGAAGGUGCGGCUGGAUC